rnacentral:rRNA from 1 species
AGGACGAACGCUGGCGGCGUGCUUAACACAUGCAAGUCGAGCGGAAAGGCCCUUCGGGGUACUCGAGCGGCGAACGGGUGAGUAACACGUGAGCAACCUGCCCCUGGCUCUGGGAUAGCCUCCGGAAACGGGGAUUAAUACCGGACAUUCUCCUUCUUCCGCAUGGUUGGAGGGUGGAAAGUUUUUUUCGGCCGGGAGGGGCGUCGCGGCCGUAUCAGCUUGUUGGCGGGGUAACGGCCCACCAAGGCGACGACGGGUAGCC